GACGGAGGAUGCAAGUGUUAUCCGGAAUCACUGGGCGUAAAGCGUCUGUAGGUGGUUUAAUAAGUCAACUGUUAAACCUUGAGGCUCAACCUCAAGAUCGCAGUCGAAACUAUUAGGCUAGAGUAUAGUAGGGGUAAAGGGAAUUUCCAGUGGAGCGGUGAAAUGCGUAGAGAUUGGAAAGAACACCGAUGGCGAAGGCACUUUACUGGGCUAUUACUAACACUCAGAGACGAAAGCUAGGGUAGCAAAUGGG
rnacentral:rRNA from 1 species